rnacentral:tRNA from 1 species
AGAAUAUUAUGUCAAUAAGGAAACUUCUAAUUUCCUAAAAAGCAGUUAAACUCUGUUUAUAUUCUA